UAAUACAUGCAAGUCGAGCGGAUCUUCAUUAGCUUGCUUUUGAAGAUCAGCGGCGGACGGGUGAGUAACACGUGGGCAACCUGCCUGUAAGACUGGGAUAACUUCGGGAAACCGGAGCUAAUACCGGAUAAUCCUUUUCCUCUCAUGAGGAAAAGCUGAAAGACGGUUUCGGCUGUCACUUACAGAUGGGCCCGCGGCGCAUUAGCUAGUUGGUGAGGUAACGGCUCACCAAGGCAACGAUGCGUAGCCGACCUGAGAGGGUGAUCGGCCACACUGGGACUGAGACACGGCCCAGACUCCUACGGGAGGCAGCAGUAGGGAAUCUUCCGCAAUGGACGAAAGUCUGACGGAGCAACGCCGCGUGAGCGAUGAAGGCCUUCGGGUCGUAAAGCUCUGUUGUCAGGGAAGAACAAGUAUCGGAGUAACUGCCGGUACCUUGACGGUACCUGACCAGAAAGCCACGGCUAACUACGUGCCAGCAGCCGCGGUAAUACGUAGGUGGCAAGCGUUGUCCGGAAUUAUUGGGCGUAAAGCGCGCGCAGGCGGUUCCUUAAGUCUGAUGUGAAAGCCCCCGGCUCAACCGGGGAGGGUCAUUGGAAACUGGGGAACUUGAGUGCAGAAGAGGAGAGCGGAAUUCCACGUGUAGCGGUGAAAUGCGUAGAGAUGUGGAGGAACACCAGUGGCGAAGGCGGCUCUCUGGUCUGUAACUGACGCUGAGGCGCGAAAGCGUGGGGAGCGAACAGGAUUAGAUACCCUGGUAGUCCACGCCGUAAACGAUGAGUGC
rnacentral:rRNA from 1 species